CACUCCUACGGGAGGCAGCAGUGGGGAAUAUUGGACAAUGGGCGCAAGCCUGAUCCAGCCAUGCCGCGUGAGUGAUGAAGGCCCUAGGGUUGUAAAGCUCUUUCACCGGAGAAGAUAAUGACGGUAUCCGGAGAAGAAGCCCCGGCUAACUUCGUGCCAGCAGCCGCGGUAAUACGAAGGGGGCUAGCGUUGUUCGGAAUUACUGGGCGUAAAGCGCACGUAGGCGGAUCGAUCAGUCAGGGGUGAAAUCCCAGGGCUCAACCCUGGAACUGCCUUUGAUACUGUCGAUCUGGAGUAUGGAAGAGGUGAGUGGAAUUCCGAGUGUAGAGGUGAAAUUCGUAGAUAUUCGGAGGAACACCAGUGGCGAAGGCGGCUCACUGGUCCAUUACUGACGCUGAGGUGCGAAAGCGUGGGGAGCAAACAGGAUUAGAUACCCGUGUAGUCC
rnacentral:rRNA from 1 species